rnacentral:lncRNA from 10 species
CCGUGGGAGGGAAGGCACUCUCUGUCAAGCUGCUGUCACCUUACCUGAAGUAAGGAGUCCACGCCUGCAUGUCCGAGGAAAACAGUUUUCUCAAACACAUUAGUUGAAAAACUGAAGACGCUGCCUAAAAUACAAGCUGAGUUAGAGACAGCCCUUGUAAGACUAGAAAAAGAAAUGGAAACUAAGUAACAUGAAUUAACAUAGUCCAGGGUCACAAAGCAACAUGGAACAAGAACCUGGAUCUGAAUUCAGAGGCAGAAUGCUGGAGAUAGGGUCUUGUUCUGUCGCCCAGGCUUGGGUGCAAUGGCAUGAUCACAGCUCACUGCAGCCUCGAACUCCUGGGCUCUAGUGAUUCUCUUGCCUCAGCCUCCCUUGUAGUUGGACUACAGGUACAAAUCACCAUGUCUGGCUCUUGUUCUUUAACACAUGCUUGUAGCUCAAAACUAGUAGAAUUCCCUCUGAUACAUUUGUGAACCUCUGCUCCUACUACAAGUUUUAUGCUACUGAAGUCAGUUGCCUUUUUCUCAAACCUGCUUAUACCAAUUAAACUUGUUAUUGAAAUUAAUUAAUUAAAUAGGUAAACCAGUGAAAUAUGAAACAAAAGUCAGUCACUAAAGAAAUUACUGGCAAAUUAAGUAUAAGCAAAACAACUGCAAAAGUCUCGAAAAAGUGAGUAGAAAUUUACAGAUAUUUUGUUGGCAAAUGAAAUACAUUUGUAGUUUAAGUUAAAAUUUAAAAUUAAAGAUAUGUAUGUAUCAUUUUUAAAUUUCUCUGUUUAAAUUGACUUUUUCCCUUCACCAAUCACAAUAUCAGUGUUGGAUAAGGGAACUUUCACUAUAUCCUGUGUUGUAUUUGUAUGGUACUUUUGAUCAUUCUUUUAAUAAAAGCACAAUCUAUCUAGAAAAGCAAAAAUAAAGA